rnacentral:rRNA from 1 species
GCGGCAUGCCUAACACAUGCAAGUCGAACGGGAGUAAGAAGCUUGCUUUUUACUUUAGUGGCGCACGGGUGAGUAACGCGUGGAUAAUCUACCUAAUGCACUGGGAUAACAUCUCGAAAGGGGUGCUAAUACCGGAUAAGCCCACGAGAUCUUCGGAUCAUGCGGGAAAAGGAGGGGACCUUCGGGCCUUCCGACGUUAGAUGAGUCCGCGUCCCAUUAGCUAGUUGGCGGGGUAAUGGCCCACCAAGGCUACGAUGGGUAGCUGGUCUGAGAGGAUGAUCAGCCACACUGGAACUGAGACACGGUCCAGACUCCUACGGGAGGCAGCAGUGGGGAAUUUUGCGCAAUGGGGGAAACCCUGACGCAGCAAUGCCGCGUGAGUGAUGAAGGCUUUCGGGUCGUAAAGCUCUGUCAGAAGGGAAGAAAUGUGGGCGGCUAAUAUCCGUUCCACUUGACGGUACCUUCAAAGGAAGCACCGGCUAACUCCGUGCCAGCAGCCGCGGUAAUACGGAGGGUGCGAGCGUUGUUCGGAAUUAUUGGGCGUAAAGCGCGUGUAGGCGGUUUUUUAAGUCUGAUGUGAAAGCCCCGGGCUCAACCUGGGAAGUGCAUUGGAUACUGGAAGACUUGAGUACGGGAGAGGGUAGUG